UAUGCUGAUUGCUCAGAGACAAAACCUGGCCACUUACAAUUUGAAGGACUUGCUUUAAUUUGCAGAAAGGACAAUUUAAAGCUAAGGAGGCAUGCAUGUCACAAAGGUGAGACAUUAAUCCUUUGCGUCAAGUUCUAGCUUCUUGUACAAUGUUAUCAUUCCAUGCUUUCAAAGACAUCUGCAAACCAACCUUUCUCAGGUAUGUUCCAACAAGCCACAAGUAACUGCUAACCAUUUUUCCUCUCAUUUUGGUGCGAACGCGAAGAUGACAUGUGGCGGUGAGAAAGAAGCACUAUAUAUAGAGGCACUGUCGUAUCUGUGCUAUAACAAUAAAGAAUAGUGGUAGGUGUGU
rnacentral:lncRNA from 1 species